AUACCAAAAACUUGUUGAAGGGGGGAUCACCAACACUGAUGAGCAGUUGGCCAGACUGGGAGAAAUUACUGCUUUACUUGAACAUACAAUCAACUACAAACAUGAUUUUGAUCUCACCCAGGUCAAGAUCAUUGAUAAAACAUUUAAACCCUCUGCUUUAUCAGUGUUGGAAAUGUGUCACAUCGCCAAUACGGACAAGACGGUCAACCGCCGUACUGACGUAUAUGGCCUAAGUAACACAUACUCGGGGAUUCUACACACUAUCAAACCAUCUGUAACACAAAGAAACAAUCCUCUCUCGGAUAUCUCCAACCACACACAAACUACCAACACACAAUAACCCACCGUUGGGAUCAUCCAAGUGAUACCCACCGCCACACCAUAUUGUAUGAAAGCUAAACCCUUGCAAAGUUGGGAUAGUGAACAGUGUCGUUACCGAGAUUUUGAAUUUGUUCUCGGUUAUGCAGGAAAACCACCAUCUAUCUAUUACAAACCGGACACCCCACCGUUGGAGAAUAACGAACAGUACGAUAGCGACUAGACAAAAUUUCCCCUGAAGAAGACCGACAAAACCGGUCGAAACGUCGGGCAGUUUUAAUAUAAACAUCGCUUGAUUAUUUUUAACCGACUGAGAAAGCCGACCAAUCAAAACAAAACAUUCCAGUCAAAAAAUCAUCCGUU